GAAAUCUGGGAUCUAGCUGAAUCUCUGAGAAGAGUUAUUGCUCCAUAAGGGAUGGCAUCCAUUACAAUAGCAAACUCUUGUGGAGUAACAGGUAUAUUGUACUUGUUCAAAAACUCUGAAUAUGAAUACAGGUAUCCAUCAGUAUUGAUUAAUUGAGAAACCAGAAUAAAAUUAUUUUUUAACCCAGUUUGGAAAAAACAACAACUUAUUUUAAUAGAUAAUAUCACAAUUAUUCCAAAUAAAGUACCGGUGAAGACUAAAAUUGUGUUUAUAAAUUAGGUGCCAGGCCAAAAGCGCUUUUUUUAUGAAAAUGAGACAAUUUAAGGGGCAAUUUGGUGAUGUUGUAGUUACAUAGCAAUAGAAAAGGGAGACCACCCACCUUAGAGAAAACAAGACUAGGAAAAGUAUUCCGGACUAAUUAAGUACUUCUUUAACCAAUUUAUCUUGAAAGUAUUUGUUGUAGCCAAUUCUGAUGUGUUAUGUUUUUUGUUGGUGGUAAGUUGCAUGGGGGUGACGUUCUUCCACCUGCACACUAGGGGGCAUAGGCAUGGCAUUAUGCUAGUUGUGGAGGCUAUAUGAUUAAGACACAGGUGAGCCAGGAGGAGGAUCAGGAGAAGCCAGAUAGUUUUUCAACCGUGCAUGCGUGCAGGUGGUUGGAUCAUGUUCAGCUAUUGGCACUAUGUUUAAUGUUGUAUAUGGAUGAGCUCAAUUGACAUCAGUAAUGCAAGCAGCAGUGUUUGUAAGUAAUUAUAUUCUUCAUUGAAUAAAGUCUUAAUCGAGUGCCAUGGGAGACCUGAUUUCUUGCACCAUUACGCGUUGGAGACGACUUCAAAUUCCCUCAAAUGUUUUUUUUGUGGUACGAUCGCCAUUACAUUAAGUUGAAAAACUAUCUGGCUUCUCCUGAUCCUUGGCUUCAAUGGACGGAUAGCGCGGAUGUUGGAGGGCAGAAGCACAGCACUCCAGCUGAUUCUAAUGAUUGAACACCGACAGGUGAAAUUGGACGCUGAGAAAUGAAAGUGGCUAAAAGCAACGCUGGAGAAUAACGGUAGGAUUGUUUUGGAAUUGUUAUAAGUUGUGUGGAAGAGAGUGGACUUCUCACAAUCAAGAUAUAGGUAAAUUCUGUCUCAAUUCUAAAAUAAAGUCUUUGGCAGCUUGUCUAAUCAUCAUAAUGAGUAACGUGGACUUGAAUGCACCUGUCAAUCAAGGUGAAACGGAGAAUGAACUUGGUAAAAGACCAGUUAAACUCACUGUUAAAGCUUUGGAAGAAAAAAUAAUAUCACAUCAAAAGGAAAGGAACCUUAGGAUAAAAAAAACUGUAUAAACUAAGAAAGGAAGUUGAGCAAUGGAUGCUUUCAAAACCCAAUGUGUCUGAGGUACAGAUGACAUAUGAUACCUUUUUAAAAUUGAGUGUGGAAACAACAGAAUUGCAUGAAUCAUUGAAACCUUUGUUACCAAAUGAGGAAAUGUCAAAACAAAAUAAAUGGUUUGAAAUCGAAAUGAACAGUAAUACAGAAAUGAUAAAAAGAAUUGAAGGGUGGUUGCUUGACUUCAAGGAGCAAUGCAAGGGUGAUGAAAAUGAUGGUGGUGAUGAUGUUGUUGAUGGUGAGGUUGAUAACGCUGUGCAACAUACAACUGUGAUCACUGAUGAGAUCGGUCCAAAUGACAGUAUUUCUAAUGUUAAUGAAAAACGGUGUACAUCAGCUUCUUGCUCCAGCCAUAGGUCUUUAAGGUCAUCAACCUCCUCUGCGUACCUUAAAGCAGAGGCUGAAAGAGCCGCUCUUAUUGCUAGGGCAGCUACCCUAAAAGAAAAGCAUGAACUGGAGGUACAGGAGGAACAAAUUAGACAAAAGAAGGAGGUGCUUGAAUUGCAAAGUCAAAUUGCUGCUCACACAGCGAAGGUUACGGUGCUUAAGUACAGAGGUUCUGAUGUGCAAAGCUCCAGUGCACAUUCUGAUGGAAUGAAUUCAUAUCUGAAAAGGUCAGAGUACAAAUCCUCUCUUAGAUCCUCUGCUAUGGAAUUUGUUCCACAAAGUUCAAGCUAUCAUUUCAAUCAUCCACCAAAAGGAGGCAGUAAAGCCUCAGUGUCAAUGGAAACAUGUCUCAAGGAUUCAAGCCAUCAGUUAAAUUAUCCACCAAAAGGAGGCACUAAAGCCACAGUGUCAACUAAGGCACGAUCUAAAGAAACCAGUUUUCAACAAGGUGGAACACAGGUUCAUGCUCUGCUUCAUAAACCUCAACAAACCAAUCACACCACAUAUCAUACACCGGAAACGGCUAUGCUUUCCACGCAGGAGUCCAUGCAGCGUGAUGGUUUAGUGCAAACCAACGUGGAACAACAAAAUUUUCUCACUAUUAUGCAAAGGCAAAACGACAUCACUGCUUUGCUAGUACAGCAGCAGUCUUCACUAUCAUUACCCCCAAGGGAUAUACCAACCUUCGAUGGAGAUCCUCUCGAGUACAGAACAUUCAUUAGAGCAUUCGAAAAUGGAGUAGAAGGAAAGGCUGCUAGCAAUCAAGAUUGCUUGUACUUUUUAGAGCAGUACACCAAAGGACAACCUAAGGAGCUGGUCAAGGGCUGUCAACACAUGCCACCUGAAAGGGGGUAUCAAAGAGCUAAGACACUUCUUCAGAAAUGCUUUGGAAAUGAACAAAGAAUUGCCACAGCUUACAUGGAGAAAGCUCUGGGAUGGUCACCAGUGAAAGCAGAAGAUGUCAAGGGCUUGCAAGCCUUUGUUUUGUUUCUACGGGUUUGUUGUAAUGCAAUGGAGGACAUUAGCUACAUGACAGAGAUGAAUAUGCCAUCCAAUAUGCGUGCUAUAAUUUUGAAGCUACCAUAUAAACUGAGGGAAAGGUGGAGAAACACUGCUUAUGACUUGCAGGAGAGGCACUGUCGUCAAGCAGGUUUCAGUGACAUUGUCAGUUUUCUUGAGAGGCAAGUAUCUAUUGCCUCUGAUCCACUCUUUGGAAAUAUUCAGGAUGCAUCCAUCUUACCAUCAAAAUAUCAUGUUGGCCAUAAAGUUCCCCAUGUUCGCUUCAAGGGAAGGGGAAGCAGUUUUGCUACCUCUGUGGAAGCUGUUACUACUGGAAACACACAUCAAGUCUUAGAAGAGAAAAAUUUAACCAAGUCAACAAAGGUGACGUGUCUGCUGUGUGAGGAGGGUCACAGAUUGGAGUGUUGCCCCAGACUAGAAAAGAAGCUGCACAGAGAGAAAAUAGAUUUUCUAAAGGUGAAAGGUGUUUGUUUUGGGUGUUUGACUGUUGGACACAUGAGCAAAGACUGUCAUAAACGUCUAUCUUGCAAGUUGUGUAACCUGAAACAUCCUACCUGCCUCCAUAUUCAUUCAAAGGAAAAGGAAAUCAAAUUAGAGGACACACACCAAGAAACAAGUCAUGUAGUUUCUCCUAAGACUUGUGGCCAUAUAGGGGCCGGUGUGCAAGACUGUGUUUUGCCAAUUGUGCCUGUACAAAUCAAGGCUGUAAAAGGUAGUAAGGUGCUGAAAACCUAUGCAUUUUUAGAUCCAGGCAGCACAGCCACCUUCUGCUCUGAGCGACUCAUGAGGGAACUAAAGGUGAGAGGAAAAAAUGCCAAGAUCCUGUUGAGAACCAUGAGUCAAGAAAAGUUUGUCGACAGUCAUAUCAUCUCAGGACUGGAAGUAUCUGCACUCAAUAGUAAUACUUUCUUUGAAUUGCCUGAUGUAUUUACACAAUAUGUGAUGCCUGUGACUCGUGAUAACAUUCCACGACAAGAAGAGUUAAGUGCCUGGCCACAUUUACACUCUGUGGAAAUUCCUGUCAUCAAUGCGGAUGUGGAUCUAUUGAUUGGAACCAACGUUUCAAAAGUAAUGGAACCAUGGCAAGUGGUAAACAGCAAGGAUGGAGGACCUUAUGCUGUCAGAACCCUAUUGGGAUGGGUUAUUAAUGGACCACUAAGAGGAGGCAAUGAGACUGGAAGUAGCUACCCUACCAGUACAGUCAAUCGAAUAUCUAUUGCUAACAUAGAGGAACUGUUGGUGAAGCAAUAUAACCAUGACUUUAAUGAGAAAUUAACAGAGGAAAAGCCAGAAAUGUCUAGAGAAGAUGUCAAGUUUAUGGAGAUCAUGAACAGUUCAGUUGAACUCUGCAAUGGUCAUUACUGCAUGAGAUUACCUUUCAGGGAGGAAAAUGUUAUCAUGCCCAACAACCGUCAUGUUGCUGAACAAAGGGCCCUCUGUUUGAAAAGGAAAUUAAUGAAAAAUGCUACCUUUAAAGAAGAAUAUACUCACUUUGUGAGUGAUGUCAUAAAUAAAGGAUAUGCAGAAAAGGUGCCAGAAAAUCAAAGGAAAGGAAAAGAAGGAAAAGUCUGGUACGUCCCGCAUCAUGGCGUGUACCAUGCAAAAAAGGGAACGUUGCGGGUAGUAUUUGACUGUGGUGCAAGCUUUAAGGGGAUGUCGCUCAACAGUCAGCUACUUCAGGGACCUGAUUUGACAAAUUCAUUGCUUGGAGUUCUGAUUAGGUUUCGUCAAGAAGUUGUAGCAGUGAUGGCUGAUAUACAGGCGAUGUAUCAUCAAGUUAAAGUGACAAAACAGGAUGUUGAUUUUCUUCGCUUCCUGUGGUGGCCAACUGGCGAAUUAACACAACAUCUUACUGAAUAUAGAAUGAUUGUUCAUCUGUUCGGUGCAAUAUCAUCACCCAGCUGUGCCAGUUUUGCCCUAAGAAAAACCGCUGAGGACAACAGGGCAAAGUUUCCAGUACACGUGACGGACACGAUCAAGCACAAUUUCUAUGUGGAUGACUGCUUGAAGUCCCUACCUUCAGAAGCAGAGGCCAUAGCCCUGGUAAGAGAUCUGACAACUGUAUGCCAGUCAGGGGGGUUUCGGCUGGUGAAAUGGAUUAGCAACAGCAGGUCAGUGUUGGAAUCUAUUGAUGUGGAAAAAAGAGCUAAAGAAGUGAAACAAUUGAAUCUCGACAGAGAUAAUCUCCCUGUCGAGAGAACACUUGGACUGCAAUGGUGUGCAGAAACUGACACCUUUAGGUUCAAAAUGGCAGUCCAGGAAAGACCACUGACAAGACGAGGUAUCUUGUCUGUAAUAAGCUCCGUGUACGAUCCCAUUGGAUUUUUAGCACCCUUUGCUUUACCUGCCAAGUUGAUGCUGCAAAAUCUCUGUAGGUUGAACUGUGGUUGGGAUGAUCACAUUUCCCCAAACUGCCAACUACAGUGGGUAGGGUGGCUAGAAGAUUUAAGAAAGCUUAGUACAUUUAGCAUACCAAGAUGCAUUAAGCCAAAAGAUUUUGGACCGCUUACCAGUGCCCAAUUACAUCACUUCUCUGAUGCCAGCGAGGACGGAUAUGGUACAGUAUCAUACCUGAGGAUGCAGAAUGACAAGAAGAAAAUUCAUCUUGCCUUUAUUCUAGGAAAAGCAAGAGUUGCUCCAUUAAAGAAAGUGACAAUCCCAAGGAUGGAACUAACUGCUGCUGUGCUUGCAGUUCGAAUUGAUAGGAUGUUGAAAACAGAAUUGCAGCUGGAGUUGGAGUAUUCUACUUUUUGGAGCGACAGCACAACUGUACUAAAGUACAUUAGGAAUGAAACAAAGCGUUUUCAUACCUUUGUGGCCAAUAGGAUCUCAACAAUAAGAGAAACCACUGCUGUUUCACAGUGGAGGUAUGUUGAUACAAAGCAGAAUCCUGCUGAUGAGGCUUCACGUGGGGUAAAAAUUGAGUACCUGCUCACAGGCAGCAGAUGGAUCCAUGGCCCAGAUUUUCUUCUAAAGAAUGAAAGGGAAUGGCCUGUUAACAUUGUGGAUUCUGUCUCUGUCAGCAGUGAUGACCCAGAGGUCAAAAGGGAGGCUACAGUUAAUGCUGUAGUCAUUAAAGAUGUCCUAAAUGUAACAAACACUGUCAACACAGAUGCACAGAAUUCAACAAAUCAGUUGAUAAAUUAUUUCUCUUCAUGGAAAAGGCUAAAGAUUUCAGCUGCUUGUUUUCUACAGGUGAGAAAGAUGUUGCUGCUGUUAAGUCAGAAGAGAAGAGAAAUACAAGCUUCUGUGUCCAGCAGUGGACUUGAUAUAAUUCAACAAAAGAACAAAGUGGAAAAGGAGAUGCAAAUAUUCAGAACCACACUGACUGGUCAAAUCAUGUCCCCUGAAAAUCUUGAAACCUCUGAAAAUGCCAUCAUUCGAUACUGUCAAUUAGACCGGUUCAAUGAGGAAAUAACUGUUUUGAAAGAGGGAACAUCUGGAGUGAAGAAAAGCAGUCAUAUUUACAAACUUGAUCCAGUAUUAGAAAAGGGGCUCUUGAGAGUGGGUGGAAGGCUCAGUAGAGCAGCAAUGCCUGAGGGCAUGAAACAUCCAGUCAUUUUAGCUAAAGACCAACAUAUCUCCACUCUCAUUCUUCGCCACAUUCAUGAGCAGUUAGGACAUUGUGGAAGAAAUCACCUGCUUUCUCGACUUCGUCAGCGGUAUUGGAUUACCAGUGCAAAUGCUGCUGCUAGAAAGAUUAUUUCAUCUUGCGUCAUUUGUAGACGCUUUAGAGGGAGGCUGGGUGAACAAAAGAUGGCAGAUUUGCCAAAAGACAGAAUUCAACCUGACCUCCCACCAUUCACAAGUGUGGGUGUUGACUACUUCGGGCCUUUUGAAGUGAAGAGAGGCCGCAGCUUUAUAAAGCGCUAUGGUGUUAUCUUUACCUGCAUGGCCAGUAGGGCAGUGCAUUUGGAAAUGGCAUAUUCAUUGGAUACCAGUUCUUGUAUCAAUGCACUGCGCAGAUUCAUAUCUAGAAGAGGCCAGGUAUCGCACAUCAGAUCAGAUAAUGGAACUAAUUUUGUUGGUACAGAACGUGAGCUAAGAGAGGCUCUGUCUGCUCUUAAUCAUCAAAAAAUUCAAAAGGCAUUACUUCAGUCAGGAGUGAAAUGGAGCUUCAACACUCCUACUGCAUCACAUCAUGGUGGAACAUGGGAACGAAUCAUUCGUAUGGUCAGACAGGUGCUGAACUCAGUCCUUCAUCAGCAAAGUAUGGAUGAUGAGGGAUUACAGACUCUUUUAUGUGAGGUGGAAGCCAUAUUGAAUGACCGUCCAAUCACUAAAUUGUCAAAUGAUCCUAAUGAUCUGGAACCCUUGACCCCAAAUCACAUCCUCUUGUUGAAAGGCAAACCAGCACUCCCACCUGGGCUUUUUGAGAAGAGUGAUUUAUACACAAAACGACGUUGGAGGCAAGUUCAGUUCUUAUCGGAUCUCUUCUGGCACAGAUGGAUCCGGGAGUACUUACCUCUGUUACAGGAACGACAACGGUGGUCUAAGGACAAGAGAAGCUUCAUCAUUGGAGACAUAGUCAUUGUGGCAGACUCUACUGCCCCUCGUGGAUCCUGGAUGUUAGGGAAAGUACUGCAGACCUUUCCUGACCCACGGGGACUUGUGCGGUCUGUUAAAGUUCAGACCAAAUGCAACAUUCUGGAGAGACCAGUCACAAAGAUUUGUCUUCUGCAAGAAGCGGGAUAAAGAUUGAUGUAUACAUGGACAUUAUGAACUAAAAGCCCAUAUGUGCAUGAUGGAUAUUUUAUUGGCUCCAUUGUUUGUAUGGUGUUUAAUUGUUACAUUAUUAUAGAGUAACAAUCAGGGGCCGGUGUGUUGUAGCCAAUUCUGAUGUGUUAUGUUUUUUGUUGGUGGUAAGUUGCAUGGGGGUGACGUUCUUCCACCUGCACACUAGGGGGCAUAGGCAUGGCAUUAUGCUAGUUGUGGAGGCUAUAUGAUUAAGACACAGGUGAGCCAGGAGGAGGAUCAGGAGAAGCCAGAUAGUUUUCAACCGUGCAUGCGUGCAGGUGGUUGGAUCAUGUUCAGCUAUUGGCACUAUGUUUAAUGUUGUAUAUGGAUGAGCUCAAUUGACAUCAGUAAUGCAAGCAGCAGUGUUUGUAAGUAAUUAUAUUCUUCAUUGAAUAAAGUGUUAAUCGAGUGCCAUGGGAGACCUGAUUUCUUGCACCAUUACGCGUUGGAGACGACUUCAAAUUCCCUCAAAUGUUUUUUUUUGUGGUACGAUCGCCAUUACAGUAUUAAAGAAGUAAAAUCUAGUUUAGACGACCACAUUCAUAAUUAUUAAUAACCACAGACUUUUUAAUACAAUGCUUCUUAUGCUUCCACAAAAAA
ensembl:lncRNA